rnacentral:rRNA from 1 species
AUUAGGAAUCUUGCGCAAUGGGCGAAAGCCUGACGCAGCGACGUCGCGUGGGGGAGGAAGGCUUUCGGGUUGUAAACCCCUUUUAUCGAGGAAGAAACAAAUGACGGUACUCGAUGAAUAAGCCCCGGCUAACUCCGUGCCAGCAGCCGCGGUAAUACGGAGGGGGCGAGCGUUGUCCGAAGUUACUGGGCGUAAAGCGCGCGUAGGCGGGUUGGUAAGUCCGCUGUGAAAGCCCGGAGCUUAACUCCGGAGGGUCGGUGGAUACUGCCAGUCUUGAAGGUGCUAGGGGGAGAUGGAAUUACCGGUGUAGCGGUGAAAUGCGUAGAUAUCGGUAGGAACACCAGUGGCGAAGGCGGUCUCCUGGGGCAUUCUUGACGCUGAGGCGCGAAAGCUGGGGGAGCAAACG